rnacentral:rRNA from 1 species
CAGCCGCCGCGGGAAUACGUAGGGUGCAAGCGUUAAUCGGAAUUACUGGGCGUAAAGCGUGCGCAGGCGGCUAUAUAAGACAGAUGUGAAAUCCCCGGGCUCAACCUGGGAACUGCAUUUGUGACUGUAUAGCUAGAGUACGGCAGAGGGGGAUGGAAUUCCGCGUGUAGCAGUGAAAUGCGUAGAUAUGCGGAGGAACACCGAUGGCGAAGGCAAUCCCCUGGGCCUGUACUGACGCUCAUGCACGAAAGCGUGGGGAGCAAACAGGAUUAGAUACCCGGGUAGUCCCUGUCUCUUAUAC